CACAUAUCAAUAAGCGGAGGAAAAGAAACCAACAGGGAUUGCCCUAGUAACGGCGAGUGAAGCGGCAACAGCUCAAAUUUGAAAUCUGGCGCAAGCCCGAGUUGUAAUUUGUAGAGGAUGUUUCUGGCGACGUGCCUUCCGAGUUCCCUGGAACGGGACGCCAUAGAGGGUGAGAGCCCCGUACGGUUGGUUGCCUAGCCUCUGUGAAACUCCUUCGACGAGUCGAGUAGUUUGGGAAUGCUGCUCUAAAUGGGAGGUAUACGUCUUCUAAAGCUAAAUACCGGCCAGAGACCGAUAGCGCACAAGUAGAGUGAUCGAAAGAUGAAAAGCACUUUGAAAAGAGGGUUAAAUAGUACGUGAAAUUGUUGAAAGGGAAGCGUUUAUGACCAGACUUGAGCAGGUUGAUCAUCCGUGGUUCUCCGCGGUGCACUCUGCCUGUUCAGGCCAGCAUCAGUUUGGUUCGGGGGAUAAAGGCUUCGGGAAUGUAGCUCCCUCGGGAGUGUUAUAGACCGUUGCGUAAUACCCUGAUCCGGACUGAGGUUCGCGCUCUGCAAGGAUGCUGGCGUAAUGGUCAUCAGCGACCCGUCUUGAAACACGGACCAAGGAGUCGUCUUCGUAUGCGAGUGUUCGGGUGUCAAACCCCUACGCGUAAUGAAAGUGAACGUAGGAGAGAGCUUCGGCGCAUCUCCGACCGAUCCUGAUGUUCUCGGAUGGAUUUGAGUAAGAGCAUACGGGGCCGGACCCGAAAGAAGGUGAACUAUGCCUGUAUAGGGUGAAGCCAGAGGAAACUCUGGUGGAGGCUCGCAGCGGUUCUGACGUGCAAAUCGAUCGUCAAAUAUGGGCAUGGGGGGCGAAAGACUAAUCGAACCUUCUAGUAGCUGGUUUCCGCGAG
rnacentral:rRNA from 1 species